AGGGAUAUAGCUCAGUUGGUAGAGUGUUUGCCUCAAAUGUACAAGGAAGGCUCUAGGUUCAAUCCCCAGCAUCACCA
rfam:Ictidomys tridecemlineatus contig114835, whole genome shotgun sequence.